rnacentral:lncRNA from 1 species
UUUUUUUACAUCCACACAACCAUGAGCCUUUUCUUUGUUUUUUCUUUCUUUUCUUUUUCUUUGCUCUAUGGUUUCAAGGGUGAUUUCUUUUUCUUGUUUCUUUUCACACUUUCACCCUUUCAUAAAAACUCACUUUUCCGAGUUUCUAAUCAACUCUUUUUACUUUACUCUCCCCAACUUUAGAUUCCAAAACCAAAUUUAUUCAAUAAUGCUCCCUACUUAAACAUAAGCAAAAGGAAAAAUUUUCAAACAACUCGGUUUGAG